CCUACGGGAGGCAGCAGUGAGGAAUAUUGGUCAAUGGGCGUAAGCCUGAACCAGCCAAGUCGCGUGAUGGAUGACGGCUCUAUGGAUUGUAAACCUCUUUUAUAAGGGAAUAAAGCGAGGCACGUGUGCCGUUUUGCAUGUACCUUAUGAAUAAGGAUCGGCUAACUCCGUGCCAGCAGCCGCGGUAAUACGGAGGAUCCGAGCGUUAUCCGGAUUUAUUGGGUUUAAAGGGUGCGUAGGGGGGCUGUUAAGUCAGCUGUGAAAGUUUGUGGCUCAACCCUAGAAUUGCAGUUGAAACUGGGAGUCUUGAGUAUGGUUGAGGUAGGCGGAAUGCGUGGUGUAGCGGUGAAAUGCUUAGAUAUCACGAAGAACCCCGAUUGCGAAGGCAGCUUACUAAGCUGUGACUGACGCUGAUGCACGAAAGCGUGGGUAUCAAACAGGAUUAGAUACCCCUGUAGUC
rnacentral:rRNA from 1 species